GCGCAGGAUCUGCUGGGAGUUGUAGUCCGUAUCCUGCCUUGGAGUCGGCUGCGCCGCCCUUUCUUGGUGGCUCUUUGGUUUGGGCCCCGCUGGGCUGCCAGUUGCGAGGCGGCCCCGUUCAUCUUAGGGAGAAGCCUCUUUUGCCCGGCCAACCCACGGGCCUGGGAAUGGCCUGAGCAUAAGCCUGAAGGCAUGGAGCUGGUCUUGAGGCUUACCCUUCUGCUUCACCAAAAACACCUUCUCCGAGAAGAGCCAGAGUGAUCAUUUGAAAAGAUCAUCCAGACUUGAACUGAGGGGCAUUGCUGGCUUGAAAAUGAUCCACGAACAAAAGAAACACCUCUCAAAGGUCAUCCACAAAACAAACAAAAACUGAGAAGCACUAUCAGUUGUUAUUGUUGAUGCUUUCUCCUCAGGAGUGAAUCUGGGCUCUAACUUUGGAUUUUCAAUAAGUCAUAUCCUAUCUAUAUAAAGCCUUCCAUUUUCCUCUCCUAUGUUUUGAUUCAUCUGAUCUGUAACCCUUUACAUCCAGUUAACCACUCACGUCUAUGACUUUUCCUUUUGCCAUGCUGUAAUUCUCAGACUGUCCUGAAUUGAAUUAUUAGGAAGUGCAGGCCUUGGAAAUGAGGCCACGAUAAAAGGAAAAUACUCUUUGAGUUUCCUUAUUUCCCUUAUGAAAUAAAGCAGAUUUAAGCAGUACUCUUUACUCUUUUUUUUUUCCCUCUUUUGGACUGUAACUAAACUAUAUCAUUGUUUUG